UCAUCAGAAUUUCCUGCCUACAACAGUAAAAUUGUAUGGACCCUAAUCCGUGGCCAAAACUUCUUUGAUAUGAACACAACUCUUGGAAUCGGAGGUUCUGAUUGGCAAAGUCGACAGUUAUAUCGCAACUGGCAAACGGCAGCUGGUCAUGUGUACUUUACCGUAGAAGCCUCGCUUGCGAAUCCUUCCAAAAACUUGGACUAUUCCCUGGAGUUGGAUUAUCAGAUGAAAGCCAAGCAGGUAAAUUUAAAUUUUUAGCCCAGUUAAACGAAUUGCAGAAAAUCUCAUUGGACGCCUCCUAUGACAAGAAAUCAACUUUUGACAGGAAUUUUGAUUUAACAGUGCUUUCUCCAUGGAACAAAGGUGCUCUUUCCGCAGCGCUCGUAUCACAAAAUUUGGGGCAGUCUUCUGACAAGGAGAAGAUUUCACCUCAAACACAAUCUGUCAUCCCCGACUAUAUGACCCUAUAUGUCAAGGGUAACUGGACAACGCAUAACAGCAAAACGCAACACUUGCAAAUAGAUGGAGGAUAUAAAUCUCUCCUCUUUAACAAAGUUCUCGGAGAAAUUACCACACCUUUUAUUUGACCGUCAAGCUUCCUGAAGCAGUAUCCGGCAAGAAUCCACUAAAUUUCAAGUACUCAAUAGAUACAUUUAAGCAACCCAGAUAUGUUAAAUUGGAUGCAUCUUUCAAGGAUUAUGGCGCAAGCUAUACACUCAUCAGUCGAAGUCAAGGAGACCUAUCUAUCAAAUUUCACCUGCAGACGCCUUUCAAAAAGUACACUGGAGAGAUUAAAGGGGACAGUCUUGAUGAAGAGAGUCAUUUAGUAAUGGACUUAAACCUGUCGAAAUGUAUACAUUUUGAAUUCAACCAAAAAAAUGCCUCAGACAAACAAGAGAUCGACAGCAAGCUGUUCUGGGAUUACAAUGGAAACAGGAAUAAAACCAUCGGCAUAUAUCUUUACAACUCAGAGGCUGAGAAAAUUGGCAAGCUGUACCUGGAACAGCUAUUUAUGGGAUUAAAGAUGAAGCUGACAUCGGAAAAACAAGAAAAAUCCCUCCAACAUAACUUCUUGUUCUCUACAAGUUGGGGUGAAAGUGAGCAAAAUAUAAGCGGUGAGCUGAAACUGGAUGGGCGCUUGUUGGACCGCGAAUUCCAACAGUUGAACAAUGACCUGGGAAAAAAUACAACUCGUCAAGAAUUGACUCUCUCAACCUCAAUUGUAACACCAGUUAAAAACUUUGAGCUACAAUGGAUCGAUCUCAUACACGUCAAAGAAAUCUCGGAAGAAUCGUUUGUUGCAGAUAGUCCACUCUUUUGGACAUUAACAUCUACCAAGGUUUCUUUAUCUUGGCAUGAAAUGUCGGAUCCUUUGUUAGAAGGUCAGGGUCUGGACUACUUUGGUUCCGAACGACUUGGCCCGCAAUAUUUUACUCGUCCCGAUUCUGCUCAUAAUGAUAACUCACCGAAUGCUUGGAUUGAAAGGAAACUCGGCGCAAAAGUGGAGACAAUAUUCAGCAAUCACAAGACAGCAGCUAGCCUCCUUUACUUCAAUGACUAUUCAGAUCUAACUGCUGUUGAUGUCUCCUUUAACUACACCUAUGACGAUAAUGGACUGAAAGCCAGCUUGGAUUCUACCUACAACUACGCUAUGCCCCUCCUUCAUAUGGACCUGAAUAAAAAUCAGACAGAGUCCCGUUUGAAUUUCAAGUUCACCAGCCCAACGAAAGCUUUAACCUCGUUCACUAGCAACUUUGUUGUGGCCAGCUCGCUCAACUACGCUAUUUUGAAACCAAAUGGGAACCUAACAAAAAUAUUACCUUUUGGUACUCGAUUGAUUUGCCUA
rnacentral:lncRNA from 1 species